GUUUUUGGGAUGGUUUUUGGAUGUUUUUGGUUUAUUUUUGGAUGUUUUUGGGGUGUUUUUGGGAUGGUUUUUGGAUGUUUUUGGUUUAUUUUUGGGGUGUUUUUGGGGUGUUUUUGGGAUAUUUUUGGGAUGUUUUUGGGAUAUUUUUGGGAUGUUUUUGGGAUGUUUUUGGGGCUGUUCCAGCGCUGUUUGGGGUUUAUUUUUGGAUGUUUUUGGGAUGUUUUUGGGGUGUUUUUGGGAUAUUUUUGGGAUGUUUUUGGUUUAUUUUUGGAUGUUUUUGGGAUGUUUUUGGGGCUGUUCCGGCGCUGUUUGGGGUUUAUUUUGGGAUGUUUUUGGGAUGGUUUUGGGGUGUUUUUGGGAUGGUUUUGGGAUGGUUUUUGGAUGGUUUUGGUUUAUUUUUGGAUGUUUUUGGGGUGUUUUUGGGAUGGUUUUUGGGGUGUUUUUGGGAUGUUUUUGGGAUGGUUUUUGGAUGGUUUUUGGAUGUUUUUGGGGUGUUUUUGGGGCUGUCCGGGGCCGUGGCAGCUGCGCGGAGGCACCGGGGGAUCCCAAAUCCCGUCGGGUUCCUGGCUGGGGUUACUUGAAAUGAAGUUCUGGGGGCGGAUCGAGGAGCGCUAGAACUUUCCCCACGUCUCAAGGCAAUAGGAUUAAUUAAUGAAUGAAUUAAUUAACGUGUAAUUAAACUGUAGAUACUCCUAGGACGGGAAAUUGAUGCCGAUUAUUUUAUUUUGUAUCGUUUUUCCCUUUUUGUGUUGUUUUUCCCCUUUGCCCUCCUUUGCUUUCCCCCAGUGUUUCAAUAAAUUUAUUUUUUAGGAUUCCUAAAAAUGGCA
rnacentral:lncRNA from 1 species